CCCACAUAGAAGUUUCAACUUCUUUCAUGAAAUAACAUUUCAGGGCAGAGAGACAGAAAGUUCUUUGAGAAACCCAGCUCUAACCAAAGAACACAAAUGCUUUUAUUAUGAUCAGAGGUCAGUCUUCAACAACCUUCUGGAAACAGCCCAGACCCAAAAUUGCAAAAAGGGUCAAAUACCGAGGCUGAGAAAUGCGCUUCAAGCCUGCUGCCCUUGCUCCAGCCAGAAGCUUCCAGGGGACCGUGACAUCACAGCAAAUACUCAGGCAGAAGAGUCUGCUGUGUGAUUCUCUUUGAGGUUUGGGUGAAUGGAUCUGGAUUUCUCUAGCUGAUCUGUGCCAGGGGAUAUGACUGUGCCGGAGACAGGAAGGGCUGCAGGUGUGCGAGGGCUCCCACCUCCUGCUCUCCAUGUGCACACUGUCGUCACCACUGGUGGCGUCACCUGGCUGUGGUUAAGUCUUCGCUGCGGAGGUUUGCAUGGUUCCCGUUCCCAUCUGGAAGGAGGAAGAAGCCCCAGAAUGCUUCGCCACCGUCCCCAUAAGUCAUGCAAGGGCCAGUCAUCACAUGGUAGCAAGAGGCCUUGAGACUGAAAUGAUAGGUUCUUCUGCACGCUCUGUGUAUCCUGUCCUGACAGGCAGAACGGGGCCAACCUAUACUGAGGACACUGAGCGCUGUCUCCACACCGUAGACUGUUCUAAAGGCUUUG